rnacentral:lncRNA from 1 species
AUUUAUCAAAUUAUAGGAUCAGUCUAACAUAUAUACACAUUAUAAUUUUCUUUUAAUUUUGUGACAAAGUUACUUUGGUUUCUUUCUUAUUCUUGAUUUAUUAUUCUCUAUUUUCGAGUAAAAAUACAAACUUCAAAAAAUACAAACUUGAAAUCCCAAUAUGAUCAGAAACUUCAUCACUUUUCCACAACUCUAUUGAAGGCACGUGAACUCGCUAUCUUCCAACGCUGCAUAUGUGAUAAGUUACAACUUACACGUAGGACAUAUCAAACAAAAAUUUGGUGAAAAAAACUUCUUUUUCAACGGUGUAAGCUAAUCUCUUUUCUCUUUUUUUUGUUUGUCUAAUUUGAUUCUAGGGAGGCAUGUCAGGAAUAUGCAGGCCACGCUGAAAAACUAGCGUUCAGACUCUUAGAACUCAUCUCAUUAAGCUUAGGCUUACCAAAAGAGCGUUUUCAUGAUUACUUCAAAGAACAAAUGAGUUUUUUCAGGAUAAAUCGUUAUCCACCAUGUCCACGGCCUGACCUAGCUCUAGGUGUAGGCCACCACAAAGACGCAGAUGUUAUAAGUCUAUUGGCUCAAGACGACGUUGGAGGGCUACAAAUUAGUCGCAGAUCGGACGGUGUUUGGUUUCCUAUUAGACCCGUUCCUAAUGCUCUUGUCAUCAAUAUUGGCAAUUGUAUGGAGGUAAAAUUUUUCAUAUUAUAUCUCAUUUUAAAAUAUAUAAAUUUAAAUAUCGAAUUGUAAUGACUAUAUAUACUAUUAGGUAUGGACAAAUGAUAAGUAUUGGAGUGCAGAACAUAGAGUGGUGGUGAACUCAACAAGGGAAAGAUACUCAAUACCGUUCUUCUUGUUGCCUUCACAUGAUGUGGAAGUGAAACCAUUAGAAGAGCUUCUGAGUCCUGAAAACCCUCCAAGAUACAAAGGAUAUAAAUAUGGC